GAUGAACGCUGGCGGCGUGCCUAACACAUGCAAGUCGAGCGAACAGACGAGGACCUUGCUCCUUUGACGAUAGCGGCGGACGGGUGUGUCACACGUGGAUAACCUACUUAUAUGACUGGGAUAACUUCGGGACACCGGAGCUAAUCCCGGAUAACCUGUUCAACCGCAUGGUUCAACAGUGAAUGACGGUCUUGCUGUCACUUAUAGAUGGAUCCGCGCCGCAUUAGCUAGUGGGUAAGGUAACGGCUUACCAAGGCAACGCUGCGUAGCCGAACGCAGAGAGUGGUCGGCCACACGGGAACUGAGACGCGGUCCAGGCUCCUACGAGACGCAGCAGUAGGGAAUCUUCCGCAGCAGUCGAGAGCCUGACGCAACAGGCGCACGUGAGAGGAGAAGAUCUUCGGUGCGUGAAGCUGGGUUAUGAGUGAAGAACAAAUGUGUAAGUAACUGAACGCGUCUUGACGGUACCUAAUCAAGAAGCCACGGCUAACUACGUG
rnacentral:rRNA from 1 species